UACGUAGGGGGCAAGCGUUAUCGGGAUUUACUGGGUGUAAAGGGGGCGUAGACGGCGAUGCAAGCCAGAUGUGAAAGCCCGGGGCUCAACCCCGGGACUGCAUUUGGAACUGUAUAGCUAGAGUGUCGGAGAGGCAGGCGGAAUUCCUAGUGUAGCGGUGAAAUGCGUAGAUAUUAGGAGGAACACCAGUGGCGAAGGCGGCCUGCUGGACGAUGACUGACGUUGAGGCUCGAAAGCGUGGGGAGCAAACAGG
rnacentral:rRNA from 1 species